CAGAGGUGGCAAGCGUUGUUCGGAAUUACUGGGCGUAAAGGGCGCGUAGGCGGCCUUCUAAGUCAGACGUGAAAUCCCCAGGCUUAACUUGGGGACUGCGUCUGAUACUGGAGGGCUCGAGUGCGGGAGAGGGAUGUGGAAUUCCAGGUGUAGCGGUGAAAUGCGUAGAUAUCUGGAGGAACACCGGUGGCGAAGGCGGCAUCCUGGACCGACACUGACGCUGAGGCGCGAAAGCUAGGGGAGCAAACGGGAUUAGAUACCCCGGUAGUCCUAGCCCUAAACGAUGAGUGCUUGGUGUGGCGGGUAUCGAUCCCUGCCGUGCCGAAGCUAACGCAUCAAGCACUCCGCCUGGGGAGUACGGUCGCAAGGCUG
rnacentral:rRNA from 1 species